rnacentral:rRNA from 1 species
AUUGAACGCUGGCGGCAUGCCUUACACAUGCAAGUCGAACGGCAGCACGGGAGCUUGCUCCUGGUGGCGAGUGGCGAACGGGUGAGUAAUACAUCGGAACGUACCCUGAAGUGGGGGAUAACGUAGCGAAAGUUACGCUAAUACCGCAUAUUCUGUGAGCAGGAAAGAGGGGGAUCGCAAGACCUCUUGCUUUAGGAGCGGCCGAUGGCAGAUUAGGUAGUUGGUGGGAUAAAAGCUUACCAAGCCGACGAUCUGUAGCUGGUCUGAGAGGACGACCAGCCACACUGGGACUGAGACACGGCCCAGACUCCUACGGGAGGCAGCAGUGGGGAAUUUUGGACAAUGGGCGCAAGCCUGAUCCAGCCAUGCCGCGUGCAGGAUGAAGGGCCUUCGGUUGUAAACUGCUUUGUUACGGAACGAAAAAAGGACCUUACUCCUAAUAAAGGGGU